rnacentral:rRNA from 1 species
GAGUUUGAUCCUGGCUCAGAUUGAACGCUGGCGGCAUGCCUUACACAUGCAAGUCGAACGGUAACAGGUCUUCGGAUGCUGACGAGUGGCGAACGGGUGAGUAAUACAUCGGAACGUGCCCGAUCGUGGGGGGAUAACGAAGCGAAAGCUUUGCUAAUACCGCAUACGAUCUACGGAUGAAAGCAGGGGACCGCAAGGCCUUGCGCGAACGGAGCGGCCGAUGGCAGAUUAGGUAGUUGGUGGGAUAAAAGCUUACCAAGCCGACGGUCUGUAGCUGGUCUGAGAGGACGACCAGCCACACUGGGACUGAGACACGGCCCAGACUCCUACGGGAGGCAGCAGUGGGGAAUUUUGGACAAUGGGCGAAAGCCUGAUCCAGCCAUGCCGCGUGCAGGAUGAAGGCCUUCGGUUGUAC